AGUGAACGCUGGCGGUAGGCCUAACACAUGCAGGUCGAACGGCAGCACAGUAAGAGCUUGCUCUUACGGGUGGCGAGUGGCGGACGGGUGAGGAAUACAUCGGAAUCUACUUUUUCGUGGGGGAUAACGUAGGGAGACUUACGCUAAUACCGCAUACGACCUACGGGUGAAAGCAGGGGAUCUUCGGACCUUGCGCGAUUGAAUGAGCCGAUGUCGGAUUAGCUAGUUGGCGGGGUAAAGGCCCACCAAGGCGACGAUCCGUAGCUGGUCUGAGAGGAUGAUCAGCCACACUGGAACUGAGACACGGUCCAGACUCCUACGGGAGGCAGCAGUGGGGAAUAUUGGACAAUGGGCGCAAGCCUGAUCCAGCCAUACCGCGUGGGUGAAGAAGGCCUUCGGGUUGUAAAGCCCUUUUGUUGGGAAAGAAAAGCAGCAGGUUAAUACCCCGCUGUUCUGACGGUACCCAAAGAAUAAGCACCGGCUAACUUCGUG
rnacentral:rRNA from 1 species